CUUCUUGUCCCAUCUCGCACUAUUAGGUCAAUAAUACUAGACUUACGAAUAAGGUAGUAUACAAAAUCUUACGUGAUUCCCUUUAUCUACUACUAAUCUCUCCUUGAUUUUCAGGGAGUGGGCUUCAACCUUCCCUUAAUCCAAUCAAAUGUUACCAAACGAGACUAGCCCGUAAAAAUAUGUAACUUUUUACAUGGAUGUAGCAUUUCCCCUAUUAGGUGAGGGUUUUUAUUGCCAAAAAGGUACACAUGUCCAUCUAUCAUUUUGUUCCUCUCUCUCUCAGCUAUCAUAAUUAUUUUCCCAAAGAAAAGCUCUCAUAAUUACACCACACACACAAGACGUCAAAGUUUAAUUAAAAAAUCAUCACACAUAGAAGUCUGGCCACGUGGAACGCAGAAACUCGCGCCGUGGAAAGCGACCAAACUCGACCGGAGCAAAAUCCUUCCUUUCGGCCGCUGGUAAUGGCGAUGUAGUAGGCUAAUGAAGCGCAUACGUGGCGACGAGAGCGACGACCAUGAGCGCGUAGGCGACACCCCGGUCCACGGCCUCCCGGUCAACGAACCUCCGCCUCCCCUGCGCCGGAGCCGUCUCGUCCGCGCCUGCCGCCGCCGAGCCCCCCGCCAUCCCGAUAAAUCGAUGCACCGAGCAGGACGACAGAAACCCGAUCCUAGAGCUAGCUUGGGAGAGAGCUUACACCAGCGACUGUAUUCUACUACGUAGGUGACGAGUUCGCCAGCUAGGGAGGGUCUGAUGCCAUGGCAUGCGCGCGCGCGCAGAAAUAUAUACGCGCGGAGGGAGCUGCUAGCUAGGAAACGUCGCGAGAGCUGGGAGCGCGUGGCGACGCCAGGUAGACUUCAGACGGCAGCCGCCACGUUUGAUCGGGGGACGCCUCUUUGCCUGUCGCUUCGGCGGUGCCGGCUCUUGAUCUGGCCGGCUGGGACGGCAGCCGUUCGCUGGACCCAGACGCAGGGAAUAACCUA
rnacentral:lncRNA from 1 species